rnacentral:rRNA from 1 species
CCUAACGGCCAUACCACCCUCAAAGUGCCCGAUCUCGUCUGAUCUCGGAAGCUAAGCAGGGACGGGCUUGGUUAGUACCUGGAUGGGAGUCCGCCUGGGAAUACCAGGUGUUGUAGGCU